UCCGAGGCUCCCGGGCGCCGCGAGGACGCGUUUGCAGCCCCCUCUGCCUCCCGGGUCGGGCGGCCGAGGCGCGGGGCCGCCGCGCCGGGGCUGGGUGGAGGUGUAUUUCAUUUUGGGGCUCUUUUCGGGGUUCGUAAUGUGGCCGUGGGUAGGUAAUUGGCUGGAGCAGGGCGGCAGGGCGCGGCAGCCAAUCCGCGCGCGGCUUCUAUCGGGCUUGAGUUAUUAGACGCUGAUCUCAAAACAUCCUUCAUCAGACACCAAGGAGAGGCCAUCAGAUGAGGGGAGCCAUUUUUCUGCAAUGGAAUUAAAUGGCCAAGUGGGUUUUUCCUUUGUUGCAAGUGGGGAAUGCUUUUUCCUUUGACUCCACCAUCCCGUUCAGGACGCCUCAGUGUUGUGUGUAACAUUGGUCAACAGGCUAAAGGACUCACAGUUGGAAGAAUGAAGACUUUUUUUAAAAAGAUCUGGAUUUUUCCUUAUGACUUGGAAUCCAUCUUUGUCUUGUAUAACUAGGUCAUAGCACACCAUUAAUGUCAGCAGUUAACAAUUUCGAAUUCCAAAAAAAACUAAGUAAAUGACAUAUUUAAUUUUUUUUUUUCCUCUUUUUUUUCUUGGGUGGGUGGUGGGGGGGGAGCUUGGAGCUGUCUUAAUCUGUAUUCUCUUAACUGAACAAUAAAUUUUUAAAUAUAUAUAUAUAGUUUCCUCUAUUAAACACUUAAACCUGGCCAUCUUAUUAACUCCUCUCUUUUUUAACAAGGUAAUGUUUUAAAUGUAUAGUUUUAGGACUAGCGAAAUGGCAGCAACAACAACAAAAAAAAACUGUAAGCAGUCGUUAACUCUUUUAAGUUUUUAAAAAACCUUUUACAUUGUAAGUACCCAGUCCAUUCUGUCCUUAACGCAGUGCAGUUUUCAUGUUAAUGUCGCUGAGAUGUCCUUAAUUUUCUGAACCUUCAUCUGCAUGUCUGUCUUUGUCGCUCUUGUCUAGUAUAUAAGCCAGUUAAAAUGCUUUUAGACGACUUUGCUUUUAUAAAGCUAAGGCUUGAGCUUGAAGCUUUUAGAAAAUGUUUACAGCAGUAAAUGCCAGUCAGCUUUCUUCCCAGUAACAGGUACACUUUCUUUGAAAAUCGAUCUGCUUGGAGGAAAACAGCUCUGUUUCUCUGGUCUUGGUGGAGGGGUGGGUGAGGGGAAAGGGAAGACCUCUUUGUUAAGAGACUAAAAGCCGUCACAGGAAACUAGAUUAAAACUGGAGAACAAGUCCUGGCUGGUUCGAGCCAAACACCAACGUUAACUCGUGGGUAUUUUCUAUGGUGGUUGGGAUGGCCGCGUGUCUUUUUGCCUUUUGUUUGAUUUGAUUGUGUGUUUUCGCCUUUUGUCUCUUAAUGACGGUCACACCAUUGCUAUAUCCAGAGCAGUAAACAGCCCUCAGCGAAGCCGCCUUUUGCCAACCCAACCCUGGAAAGUUCACAGAAGUGGAAGGAGCAGAAAAUGCCAUGAGAGUGUAACUUACAAAAAGCUUGAUUUGCAGACUCCAUGGCACCGGGCUGAACGGGCUCUUGGCCAGAGAAGCGGUACCCCCAGAACGGACCGUCCUCCUCUGGACAGCAGGAGCAGGCCUAGUUUGACUCUGACAGUCCUACUAAGGAAUUCCUGGUGAAUAGAAGAAGAAUGGCCUGGGUCCCCAGAGCAUCUCACAGGUAAGGAAGCAGGGCCCCCGGCUGGUGGGAGUACCCAGGUCCUCAGCUGCCUGCCCUGACCCUGCCACCUCUGAGCCGCUGGCCUGGGGAGUUUUAGCUACAGAUCCAGCCCCUACAUCGCACUGGAGCUGGGUCCAAAUCAAACACGCUCCGUGCUGGCUGGGGCUGGGUGCUGCCAGCCUCUUGGCCAGGCAGGGGUGGGUGGGCUGGGGCCAGUGUCAGCUGUUCUGCCCGGACCCAGACGGGGCUGGACAGACUCACUCUUCCUCUCCCCCUCCUCUCAGCCUUGUGUAAGUGGUUUGUUCUGUCAUAAGUUCAAAUUGCAGCCCCAUCUCUCAGAUGGAAAGUGGAAACUGAGGAGUGAGGAUUUUGAGGAUAGUCAGGAGUCCCCCCACAGGCCCAUGCGGUUAAUUUCUAAGUGAAUUCUCCCCAGGCCCCUCCCCCUCUUACUCUCCCAGUCCCUCCCUACGCUUUGGGGUUCCUGCUUUAGGGUCACUGCUGCGGCAGGCCUGAGAUGAGAAGGUUGCAAAGAUAAGUGGUCCUCCUUCCUUCGUUGGAAACUCUCUUCCAUCCUUCCCCUCCUCCUGGGGUCCUGGGGUCAUUUCUGACAUGUGUCUGGACCUGGUCUCUUCUCCUGCCAACCUCAGGCUGCCUCACCAGCCAAUCAUAGCUCCUCUGAAGAGAGCUUGGGGGUCCAGUUUGGCUGGGCCAGUUCAGGAACCUUCUGUCCAGCGCCCCCUGCUUGAGCCUGACAGCUAGGCCCUCUGUGGGCUAACCCUGGUUACCUUGACAACAGCGUCUGGCCUCCUUCCUCACUCCCCCGCCACUGCCAAACCUGCUGGGGUUUUCCAGCCACCAUGCAUUUGCCCAGGCUGGGUACCCAUCUGGCCUGCUCUCCCAGCACUGCCAAGCUUAGUUCACGUACCAGCCAGCUCUCAGCCUCCUCUGAGCUCCUCACAGCUCUGGCUCUUUCGGGGCUUCCACGGGCGGUCGCUGCUGCCCUCUGGUGGCCAGACCCUGCCUUGCACCCGCCGAAAACCUUGACCCUGCAUUUAUGGAACUGCCAGGUUGGCAAUUUCCUGCCUGAAGUAAAGUUUACCUCAUCUUU